rnacentral:rRNA from 1 species
CAAUAGCGUAUAUUAAAGUUGUUGCAGUUAAAACGCUCGUAGUCGGAUUUCGGGGCGGGUCCGCCGGUCUGCCGAUGGGUACGCACUGGCGGGCGCGUCCUUCCUUCCGGAGACUGGCCCUACUCUUAGCUGAGCGGGGUCGGGAGUCGGAUCGUUUACUUUGAAAAAAUCAGAGUGUUUCAAGCAGGCAGCUCGCUCUUGUAUGGAUUAGCAUGGGAUAAUGAAAUAGGACUUUGGUGCUAUUUUGUUGGUUUCGAACACCGAAGUAAUGAUUACCAGGGACAGUCAGGGGCACUCGUAUUCCGCCGAGAGAGGUGAAAUUCUCAGACCAGCGGAAGACGAACCACUGCGAAAGCAUUUGCCAGGGAUGUUUUCACUGA